UUUAAUUUCCCAUCCUAAUCCGACUUUGUAAAAAUCGUUCACGGAGAAACUGAGCCCAGCUCUGCAGCCGGGCUGUCCCUUGCCGAGUGUGCGCCUAAAAACACCCUGCAGUUCUGGGCUAGCACUCCGGUGUGAGCGGGUCUGGCCGGGCCGCAGAGGGCGUCUGGAGACCGGAGAAACCGUGGCCGCCUGGCCGGUCGCCUUGGCCGGGGCUGUCCCUUUAAAUCCUGGAGGAGGCAAAGAGAAAAAAGAAAAGAAAGAAUAAAGACACGGAGCUCCUAGCGUUGGGUGGCUCUGCCUGGUCCCCCGCGCCGCCCCUGCGCAGGGACCUGACUCCUGCUCGCUGCGCGCGCGGGUCCUGGGCGUCCCCUGCAGCGCCGCCCACUCGCCAGCGCCUGUCAAAAUAGAAAUUAGCGGAGCCGGGAGGAGGCCGGGCCGCAGCAAGUGCAUGUGUGGCAGGGCGGGGAGGGGGCGGGCGCGAGCGAGCCAGAGAGAGGCGACCGCACACAUCCGGGCCCUUUAGCCCCUUGCGGCCCCCGGAGCCGUGGGCGCGGGCUCUGGGCUCCGGGCGCGGGGCUGCCAGCCGCGGUGCGGGAGGCGGGGCGUGCGGAGGGCGGAGGCGCGGCCCCGGGAGGGAGGAGCUGCUCGCGCGCCCGCCGCUCGACUGCACACCCUCUGGAGCAGCCCCGCCACGAGACUCUUGUGACAGCGGCGCGGCCCGCGCGGCUCCGGAGCUCAGGGACCGACGGACGGCGGAGGCUCGGGAGGACGCGAGCGCAUCGGCCGGGAGCCAAGUGCGGGAGGCGCGCGGGGUCGGCGGCGCGCAGAGAUCCCCUCUGAAGCACCAGGACCUCAAGUCUCCCCAUCCCUGAAGAUUAGGCCUGGCAGAAGAGGAAGAGAGAAUGACUUGGGGCUUACCCAGCGCUGAGCAGUGAGCCACAGAUUCUUGAACCUGGAGCUCCGACUGGGAGGCUAUACUGCUGGAGUGACUCAAGAAGAAUUGAUGCUCUGGCCCCCAGACAUGUACAUGGUGUAAUGACAGGAAAUGAACGGAUCUGCAGAAAAACUGGUGGCCUGAAAUUGAAGCCUAAGGAGUCGGUGCUUGUUGUCCCUGUUGGAACAAUUCUCUCACACACCACGGAACAGUGUGCUCAACCAGAGCAGAGAGCCAAACUAAUCCUGUCAACAGCGUGGGAAGAGGUAGAUGAGACAAAGAACCUUCUGGAAGGGCACAUGGACCAGCUCUGGCUCCCAUGGCACAGAAGGAGCCACCAGUGAAGGGUGGUGGUCAGAGAGAACACUCUAGGGAUGGACAGACUCGAUCUGGGCUGAAGGGGAAGGAGGGAGAGCAGAGAAGAGGCCUCGCCACUGGGGAACACACUGAGGUCUUUGUGAAGGGCAGCCCAGGCGUGGUGGGUCUGAUGGGUGGAGGAGAGGUUGGUCAGGCCCGGAAAAGUGCUGAGAGCCCAGAAUGGCUCCACGAAGGGUCCAGAUGCGAAGAACCAGCAUGCAAUAAAGUAUCCCUCACUUGUGGAAAUAAAAGUAGAUUUCUCCCAGUUUGUCUGCUAUUCCAUCAUGUGCGGACAACUGAGAAUUUUUUUUCACCAAACUUGAGACUGACCUUGAGAUCAGCACAUAUACACACUGAAUAGACACAGGAAAUCCAUGUUUAAGAUCUUCCCUAGGCCCCAGAACACGUCCCUCAAACACACACAGAGCCAUCUGUAGACAACAGCAGCUAAGGGCCACUAUUACCCACAAAGCCAGCACUGGGGACACAGUAAGCUUUAAGUGAACUGUCACCAAGGUCAUGCUUGAUUUCCUGGAAAGCCACUGGCAGGCUGAGAGACAACUGAAAUCUAUGUAUUUAACAAUGCAAGCUAGCAGAAGGGGCUGGCUAUUUUGAAAUACCAAUACCAAUAAAAGUGGUAUUUACAGAGUGUUAA